GGGUUGUGAGGUUAAGCGACUAAGCGUACACGGUGGAUGCCCUGGCAGUCAGAGGCGAUGAAGGACGUGCUAAUCUGCGAUAAGCGUCGGUAAGGUGAUAUGAACCGUUAUAACCGGCGAUUUCCGAAUGGGGAAACCCAGUGUGUUUCGACACACUAUCAUUAACUGAAUCCAUAGGUUAAUGAGGCGAACCGGGGGAACUGAAACAUCUAAGUACCCCGAGGAAAAGAAAUCAACCGAGAUUCCCCCAGUAGCGGCGAGCGAACGGGGAGCAGCCCAGAGCCUGAAUCAGUGUGUGUGUUAGUGGAAGCGUCUGGAAAGGCGCGCGAUACAGGGUGACAGCCCCGUACACAAAAAUGCACAUACUGUGAGCUCGAUGAGUAGGGCGGGACACGUGGUAUCCUGUCUGAAUAUGGGGGGACCAUCCUCCAAGGCUAAAUACUCCUGACUGACCGAUAGUGAACCAGUACCGUGAGGGAAAGGCGAAAAGAACCCCGGCGAGGGGAGUGAAAAAGAACCUGAAACCGUGUACGUACAAGCAGUGGGAGCACGCUUCGGCGUGUGACUGCGUACCUUUUGUAUAAUGGGUCAGCGACUUAUAUUCUGUAGCAAGGUUAACCGAAUAGGGGAGCCGAAGGGAAACCGAGUCUUAACUGGGCGUUAAGUUGCAGGGUAUAGACCCGAAACCCGGUGAUCUAGCCAUGGGCAGGUUGAAGGUUGGGUAACACUAACUGGAGGACCGAACCGACUAAUGUUGAAAAAUUAGCGGAUGACUUGUGGCUGGGGGUGAAAGGCCAAUCAAACCGGGAGAUAGCUGGUUCUCCCCGAAAGCUAUUUAGGUAGCGCCUCGUGAAUUCAUCUCCGGGGGUAGAGCACUGUUUCGGCAAGGGGGUCAUCCCGACUUACCAACCCGAUGCAAACUGCGAAUACCGGAGAAUGUUAUCACGGGAGACACACGGCGGGUGCUAACGUCCGUCGUGAAGAGGGAAACAACCCAGACCGCCAGCUAAGGUCCCAAAGUCAUGGUUAAGUGGGAAACGAUGUGGGAAGGCCCAGACAGCCAGGAUGUUGGCUUAGAAGCAGCCAUCAUUUAAAGAAAGCGUAAUAGCUCACUGGUCGAGUCGGCCUGCGCGGAAGAUGUAACGGGGCUAAACCAUGCACCGAAGCUGCGGCAGCGACACUAUGUGUUGUUGGGUAGGGGAGCGUUCUGUAAGCCUGUGAAGGUGUGCUGUGAGGCAUGCUGGAGGUAUCAGAAGUGCGAAUGCUGACAUAAGUAACGAUAAAGCGGGUGAAAAGCCCGCUCGCCGGAAGACCAAGGGUUCCUGUCCAACGUUAAUCGGGGCAGGGUGAGUCGACCCCUAAGGCGAGGCCGAAAGGCGUAGUCGAUGGGAAACAGGUUAAUAUUCCUGUACUUGGUGUUACUGCGAAGGGGGGACGGAGAAGGCUAUGUUGGCCGGGCGACGGUUGUCCCGGUUUAAGCGUGUAGGCUGGUUUUCCAGGCAAAUCCGGAAAAUCAAGGCUGAGGCGUGAUGACGAGGCACUACGGUGCUGAAGCAACAAAUGCCCUGCUUCCAGGAAAAGCCUCUAAGCAUCAGGUAACAUUAAAUCGUACCCCAAACCGACACAGGUGGUCAGGUAGAGAAUACCAAGGCGCUUGAGAGAACUCGGGUGAAGGAACUAGGCAAAAUGGUGCCGUAACUUCGGGAGAAGGCACGCUGAUAUGUAGGUGAAGUCCCUCGCGGAUGGAGCUGAAAUCAGUCGAAGAUACCAGCUGGCUGCAACUGUUUAUUAAAAACACAGCACUGUGCAAACACGAAAGUGGACGUAUACGGUGUGACGCCUGCCCGGUGCCGGAAGGUUAAUUGAUGGGGUUAGCGGUAACGCGAAGCUCUUGAUCGAAGCCCCGGUAAACGGCGGCCGUAACUAUAACGGUCCUAAGGUAGCGAAAUUCCUUGUCGGGUAAGUUCCGACCUGCACGAAUGGCGUAAUGAUGGCCAGGCUGUCUCCACCCGAGACUCAGUGAAAUUGAACUCGCUGUGAAGAUGCAGUGUACCCGCGGCAAGACGGAAAGACCCCGUGAACCUUUACUAUAGCUUGACACUGAACAUUGAGCCUUGAUGUGUAGGAUAGGUGGGAGGCUUUGAAGUGUGGACGCCAGUCUGCAUGGAGCCGACCUUGAAAUACCACCCUUUAAUGUUUGAUGUUCUAACGUUGACCCGUAAUCCGGGUUGCGGACAGUGUCUGGUGGGUAGUUUGACUGGGGCGGUCUCCUCCUAAAGAGUAACGGAGGAGCACGAAGGUUGGCUAAUCCUGGUCGGACAUCAGGAGGUUAGUGCAAUGGCAUAAGCCAGCUUGACUGCGAGCGUGACGGCGCGAGCAGGUGCGAAAGCAGGUCAUAGUGAUCCGGUGGUUCUGAAUGGAAGGGCCAUCGCUCAACGGAUAAAAGGUACUCCGGGGAUAACAGGCUGAUACCGCCCAAGAGUUCAUAUCGACGGCGGUGUUUGGCACCUCGAUGUCGGCUCAUCACAUCCUGGGGCUGAAGUAGGUCCCAAGGGUAUGGCUGUUCGCCAUUUAAAGUGGUACGCGAGCUGGGUUUAGAACGUCGUGAGACAGUUCGGUCCCUAUCUGCCGUGGGCGCUGGAGAACUGAGGGGGGCUGCUCCUAGUACGAGAGGACCGGAGUGGACGCAUCACUGGUGUUCGGGUUGUCAUGCCAAUGGCACUGCCCGGUAGCUAAAUGCGGAAGAGAUAAGUGCUGAAAGCAUCUAAGCACGAAACUUGCCCCGAGAUGAGUUCUCCCUGACUCCUUGAGAGUCCUGAAGGAACGUUGAAGACGACGACGUUGAUAGGCCGGGUGUGUAAGCGCAGCGAUGCGUUGAGCUAACCGGUACUAAUGAACCGUGAGGCUUAACCUUACAACGCCGAAGGUGUU
rnacentral:rRNA from 1 species